rnacentral:rRNA from 1 species
GACGUAGGGCGCGAGCGUUGUCCGGAUUUAUUGGGCGUAAAGAGCUCGUAGGCGGUCUGUCGCGUCGGCUGUGAAAACCCGAGGCUCAACCUCGGGCCUGCAGUCGAUACGGGCAAACUGGAGUGUUGCAGGGGAGACUGGAAUUCCUGGUGUAGCGGUGAAAUGCGCAGAUAUCAGGAGGAACACCGGUGGCGAAGGCGGGUCUCUGGGCAACAACUGACGCUGAGGAGCGAAAGCGUGGGGAGCGAACAGG